CCUACGGGUGGCAGCAGUGAGGAAUAUUGGUCAAUGGGCGCAAGCCUGAACCAGCCAAGUCGCGUGAGGGAUGAAGGUUCUAUGGAUGGUAAACCUCUUUUAUAGGGGAAUAAGGUGUGGGACGUGUCCUAUUUUGUAUGUACCUUAUGAAUAAGGAUAGGCUAACUCCGUGCCGGCCGCCGCGGUAAUAAGGAGGAUACGAGCGUGAUCCGGAUUUAUUGGGUUUAAAGGGUGCGUAGGCGGCCUUUUAAGUCAGCGGUGAAAGUCUGUGGCUUAACCAUAGAAUUGCCGUUGAUACUGGGGGGCUUGAGUACGUUUGAGGCAGGCGGAAUGCGUGGUGUAGCGGUGAAAUGCUGAGAUAUCACGCAGAACCCCGAUGGCGAAGGCAGCCUGCCAGGCCAUGACUGACGCUGAUGCACGAAAGCGUGGGGAUCAAACAGGAUUAGAUACCCCAGUAGUC
rnacentral:rRNA from 1 species